UACGUAGGGUGCAAGCGUUAAUCGGAAUUACUGGGCGUAAAGCGUGCGCAGGCGGUUCUAUAAGACAGAUGUGAAAUCCCCGGGCUCAACCUGGGAACUGCAUUUGUGACUGUAGAGCUGGAGUACGGCAGAGGGGGAUGGAAUUCCGCGUGUAGCAGUGAAAUGCGUAGAUAUGCGGAGGAACACCGAUGGCGAAGGCAAUCCCCUGGCCUGUACUGACGCUCAUGCACGAAAGCGUGGGAGCAACAGG
rnacentral:rRNA from 1 species